AUUAUCCUACGGGGCGCAGCAGUGAGGAAUAUUGGUCAAUGGGCUUACGCCUGAACCAGCCACGUCGCGUGAGGGAAGACUGCCCUAUGGGUUGUAAACCUCUUUUGUCAGGGGGCAACGCCGGCUACGUGUAGCCGGACUGAGAGUACCUGAAGAAAAAGCAUCGGCUAACUCCGUGCCAGCAGCCGCGGUAAUACGGAGGAUGCGAGCGUUAUCCGGAUUUUUUGGGUUUAAAGGGUGCGUAGGCGGAAUGCCAAGUCAGCGGUAAAAUCGCGGGGCUCAACCCCGCUCCGCCGUUGAAACUG
rnacentral:rRNA from 1 species